CGCCCAUUGUGCCCGGCCCGCGCCGCCGGGCCGCCCGGAGCCCGCCCGCGACCCGCAGCGCGCCCGACGACCCGGCCCUGCAAGUUCGGGCCCGCGCCGCCCGCCCGCCGGGGAAGCACGUGAACUUGGAGAAAGUCGCGGGGCGCGCCGGCCCGGACCUCCGCGGCAGGGCGUGGGCGCCCCCGGCGCGGCGCGCUUUCGUUUUCGUCCCGGACAAAGGUCCCUCGAGGCGCUAGUCUCGGAUGCGGAGACCGGGUUCUGCCGGCCGCUCCUCCCGAGAGGUCCGGUGGUUCCGUACGGGCAAGCCGGAGUCACAGAGGAGGAGCGGCGCGGUGCGGGACCGGGAGAGUGGGGCCUGGCCGUGCGCUUCGCCCGGCCGUCUCCGUCCCGGAGCCGUCCCGCCCUGCGAAGAGUUGCGGGAGAUGGCACCGCGCUGCUCUCUGCGGUUCGCACGCGUGAAGGAGGGAAGCGUUUGGGACCCAGGACGCAUACCCGUCGCUCGCCCGGGGCCUGUGCGGUGUGGGCACCACAGCGCAGCGCUGGCUGCGUCCGGGCGCGUUCCUCCGGCAAGGGCGGUCGACCUGCGAGUCCCGGGGUCACCAUCGGGUUCCGGGCGACUCCUGAGGAUGGACUCACCCCUGCGUCCCGUCACCUUGUUCUGCAAGCGACCCCUGACGUUCAGACGACUGACCGUGCACCACCCUCAGGUCGAGAAGCGGUGUCUGGAAAGGGGCUUCUGUCCACGGUCGGCCUUCCUCGAGGUCCUGCCGUCAGCCACGAGGGUCCUUGGACGGAGACCUAACGGUCCCACUGCCAAACCUUUGCCCAAGCCGUGCCCUGCACCCGAAGCCACGCCUCCUUUUCCUGCCACUCUCCAGGCGACGCGCUUCGUCCACCCACCACGCGCUUGUGACGCUGUAACAUUUGACGGUUACCGGACGUGGCCCGGAGGAGCCCUGGUCUGUGAGAGCGGAUGCAAGCGGGGUGCUCGGCUCUGUCUCUCAGGUGCACCUGCUACCCUCGGGCUCACCUUGCCUGGAGGGCCUUUGGGGCCAGGAAUCCUUGAGGGAGCCCCUUGGCUCUGCCCAGCCGUGAACCAGCCCUCGACUGCAAUCCUGAUGUGCCUCGGCCGCCCGCCACCGGCCCAAGAGGCCACUCGGUAA
rnacentral:lncRNA from 1 species